GAGUUUGAUCCUGGCUCACAUUGAACGCUGGCGGCAGGCCUAACACAUGCAAGUCGAACGGUAACAGGGAGAAAGCUUGCUUUCUUUGCUGACGAGUGGCGGACGGGUGAGUAAUGCUUGGGAAUCUGGCCUAUGGAGGGGGAUAACUACGGGAAACUGUAGCUAAUACCGCGUAGUAUCGAAAGAUGAAAGUGUGGGACCGUAAGGCCACAUGCCAUGGGAUGAGCCCAAGUGGGAUUAGGUAGUUGGUAAGGUAAAGGCUUACCAAGCCGACGAUCUCUAGCUGGUCUGAGAGGAUGACCAGCCACACUGGAACUGAGACACGGUCCAGACUCCUACGGGAGGCAGCAGUGGGGAAUAUUGCACAAUGGGGGGAACCCUGACGCAGCCAUGCCGCGUGAAUGAAGAAGGCCUUCGGGUUGUAAAGUUCUUUCGGUGAUGAGGAAGGCAACUACUUUAAUAGAGUAGUUGAUUGACGUUAGUCACAGAAGAAGCACCGGCUAACUCCGUGCCAGCAGCCGCGGUAAUACGGAGGGUGCGAGCGUUAAUCGGAAUAACUGGGCGUAAAGGGCACGCAGGCGGUGACUUAAGUGAGAUGUGAAAGCCCCGGGCUUAACCUGGGAAUUGCAUUUCAUACUGGGUCGCUAGAGUACUUUAGGGAGGGGUAGAAUUCCACGUGUAGCGGUGAAAUGCGUAGA
rnacentral:rRNA from 1 species